UAAGGUUAGUGAAGUUAAAGACGGUUAGUAAUUCUCAUUUCUGGGGGUGGUGCUUAUGAGUGUAAUAACUCUACAACGCAUUCUAAAGAAAGGAAAUUGUGCAGUGUCUGUUUAUGAAGCACUAAGUUUAAUGAUUGCUUUUGUGACGUUAAUCGUGCUAGUGAACAA
rnacentral:sRNA from 1 species